CCUGGAUCCAAGGGUACGACAUUCAAACUGGGGUCUGUGGAUAGGAAUGAUGUUCAUCUUCUUACCAAACUGGUGUAACCAAGCCAGCAUCCAGAGGAUUUUGUCUGUUCGAAAUCUGCGGUCGGCGUAUAUAACCUUCCUGGUGAUGAUUCCAAUUACAGCCGUCAGCUAUACAAUGCUGGGAUAUCUUGGUAUCCUUAUUUACUCGUACUACAAUACAAUGGAAUGCGAUCCUGUCAAAGGUGGAUUCAUAUUAAACUUCAAUCAGUUGAGUCCAUAUUUCGUACUGGAUGUACUACGAUCACUUCCUGGGUUUUCUGGCUUAUUCAUCAGUUGUUUGUUUAGUGGAGCACUCAG